AUAUUGCAGUUGUUGUUUUUUGUUUUAGCUGUUUCAACUAAAAAUGGCUAAUACAACUAUUGCUGCUGUUGAUUAUCGCAUUACCAUUUGGCUGAAAAAAAUUGUUGUUUUCGGAAGCUGUCAGAUACCUGAAAAUAAAGACAGCAAAAAGGAAAACAAAAAUUGUAAGGCAAAUUCAACCAUUUAUUUAGUUGAAAAGGAUGAGUCAAUUUGCUCGCCACGUCGGUAUACAUAAAAGCGACAGGUUUGGAAGAUAAAAUUAAUACGUUAAUUACUUGAGUAGCAUUAAGAUAAGUUUUCCAAUAUUAUUUCCGAUGAGUGAAAUUGGUACGCUAUAUGUGAAUUUAUUUUGGUUUGUUUUCAGUUAGCAAAACAUAAUUUUCAUCAUCGACUGAGAGAAAACCUUUUUGAAAUCUAAUCAUAGAAAUUGAACAGUUAGGUAUUUUUAUGUGUAUAUCUCAAGCAAGAAUUGGUUUCAAAUUGUGCCGGAAUUGUGGUGAAAACCACAAAAAGCAAGUGAUAUUUUAUAUUUGUGUAUAAAUACUGCCCUACGAUUACUAAUCUUCAUUUUAGGAAAAGCUGAGUUUCGAAAAAAAAUACCAACACAUUAUAUUGCAGAGCGGUAAUAAUAAACUCGGAACGUGUUUUAGCCGAACCGUAUACUGGAACGUCACAUGUUAAAAAUCCUAAUGAGAACAUGUUUAUAGAGGUUCUUCUCUAAGUUAUUAAAUUUAAAUAUUCCGAAUCCUGGCCGUUGAAGACAAAUGAAGACAUUGGUUAUGAAAUGUGAAGACAUUUGAAAAUUAUACCUGGUAUCCCUGGUUUGAGAGCCAACAUUGAUAUUAUAUGAAACCAUCUGACAACACUGUAUGGCGGGCCGCGCCGCGCUGCCAUAACGUCGACUUUGGAUCUUCGAAGUUCAGGAAUGUAAUUAUAACCAUGGAACAAUAUGUGGUGCUUUGGUGAUACCGGUAGAGCUAGCACCGAAGGUUGGUAGGAUAUUUAUUAACCAUUGCUGCGGACGGAACUUCAACGACCAUUUUCAGCAGAUGGAAAUUUUGCUCGUGACUAUCAACCCAACUGAAUAACGGCCGUGGAGUUUCUGAACGAAGGUGUCUGCCUCGAAGCGGAUGCUAGUAAUAAUCUGUAGUUUCAUGCAUCGCAAUGACCAUUAUGAUGACCUUCAGCAACGUCUUCGUAAUUUCGAUACUAUCCCGGUAAUGCAAAAAAACUGACGAAGGACAGUAGAUAUUCUAUGGACGGGUAUGUAUCGGUAGGGGGGUUUCAUUGGAUGGGUUCAUGUAUAAUAUUCUGGCGGUUCAAAGGCCCUUAAUAUAAUAGUUAGGUUGAUGGGCUGACGGUAUUGCCACAGAUAACAGAUUGUAAAUCAAUGUUUCACUAUUGUCAUCUAUGCAACUGUUUGCUACACGUGUUUGACAGCUGCACUUCAACUGCAUUGCAUCGAUCAUUGCGUCACCUACAAACGUUUGCUAUUGCAGUCGUCUAAUUUAUUCGUAGAGAGUAUUUACACACAUUUCGAAUCGAGCCUAAACGUCUGUAAUCUGUGGUAUUGCCAACAUCAAGUGAUCAUUAAAUUUAUCAGUCUUAAUAGACUUAGUGCAUAUAUUAUAAAUAACACUAGCGUUGUCGUAAAUCUCCGUUUAAAUCUACAGCUAGGAAAUUAGACUUACACAUUACAUUAAAAUAAUUGUUACUGUUCAUACCGAUAAAUAUCGAUUUUAUCAUUAAAGGUCGAUAUUAUAUGAAACCAUCUGACAAGACAUUUGAAAGGUAGUGAAGAAAGGUUUUUCAUUUCAAUGAUAAGGUUAUAUUUCUCUCGCGGAUUAGAAUAUAGACAAGUUCUAAAUACACGAGGGCCUUACAGUAGGUAUGCAUUUUAAUAAAGAAAUUUUAGCAGUUUGUCAAACCUGGUCAGCAAAUAGCAUUAAAAGAAUAACAUCGUUUGCUAGUUUCAAAUAUAUUUAAUUCUUUAAUCAAAAAUACCAUUAGUUGUAACAACACGCUUAUAGUACAUAUUUA